rnacentral:rRNA from 1 species
AAGAGCUUGCUCUUAUGAAGUUAGCGGCGGACGGGUGAGUAACACGUGGGUAACCUGCCCAUAAGACUGGGAUAACUCCGGGAAACCGGGGCUAAUACCGGAUAACAUUUUGAACCGCAUGGUUCGAAAUUGAAAGGCGGCUUCGGCUGUCACUUAUGGAUGGACCCGCGUCGCAUUAGCUAGUUGGUGAGGUAACGGCUCACCAAGGCAACGAUGCGUAGCCGACCUGAGAGGGUGAUCGGCCACACUGGGACUGAGACACGGCCCAGACUCCUACGGGAGGCAGCAGUAGGGAAUCUUCCGCAAUGGACGAAAGUCUGACGGAGCAACGCCGCGUGAGUGAUGAAGGCUUUCGGGUCGUAAAACUCUGUUGUUAGGGAAGAACAAGUGCUAGUUGAAUAAGCUGGCACCUUGACGGUACCUAACCAGAAAGCCACGGCUAACUACGUGCCAGCAGCCGCGGUAAUACGUAGGUGGCAAGCGUUAUCCGGAAUUAUUGGGCGUAAAGCGCGCGCAGGUGGUUUCUUAAGUCUGAUGUGAAAGCCCACGGCUCAACCGUGGAGGGUCAUUGGAAACUGGGAGACUUGAGUGCAGAAGAGGAAAGUGGAAUUCCAUGUGUAGCGGUGAAAUGCGUAGAGAUAUGGAGGAACACCAGUGGCGAA